rnacentral:rRNA from 1 species
CAGAGGGUGCGAGCGUUAAUCGGAUUUACUGGGCGUAAAGCGUGCGUAGGUGGCCAAUUAAGUCAAAUGUGAAAUCCCCGAGCUUAACUUGGGAAUUGCAUUCGAUACUGGUUGGCUAGAGUAUGGGAGAGGAUGGUAGAAUUCCAGGUGUAGCGGUGAAAUGCGUAGAGAUCUGGAGGAAUACCGAUGGCGAAGGCAGCCAUCUGGCCUAAUACUGACACUGAGGUACGAAGCAUGGGAGCAAACAGGAUU